rnacentral:rRNA from 1 species
UCCUCCCUCUGUCGGCGUGCCUAAUACAUGCAAGUAGAACGCACAGUUUAUACCGUAGCUUGCUACACCAUAGACUGUGAGUUGCGAACGGGUGAGUAACGCGUAGGUAACCUGCCUGGUAGCGGGGGAUAACUAUUGGAAACGAUAGCUAAUACCGCAUAAUAUUGAUUAUUGCAUGAUAAUUAAUUGAAAGGUGCAAUUGCACCACUACCAGAUGGACCUGCGUUGUAUUAGCUAGUAGGUGAGGUAACGGCUCACCUAGGCGACGAUACAUAGCCGACCUGAGAGGGUGAUCGGCCACACUGGGACUGAGACACGGCCCAGACUCCUACGGGAGGCAGCAGUAGGGAAUCUUCGGCAAUGGACGAAAGUCUGACCGAGCAACGCCGCGUGAGUGAAGAAGGUUUUCGGAUCGUAAAGCUCUGUUGUAAGAGAAGAACGGGUGUGAGAGUGGAAAGUUCACACUGUGACGGUAUCUUACCAGAAAGGGACGGCUAACUACGUG